UUCAAUUGCAGCCACGCGUGCGUACGCGAACACCAAUCCGUGACCUCUUUGGGAAAGCCUUCACUUUCUACGACGUGAAACUCGCAAGACUUCACGUUUUUCUGCAUCAUCGUAAACCGUCAUCAAUUAUUUUACUGUCAGGUUGUAUUCCUGCGACACCGAUAGACACUGCCGUAUACCAAUGAUACUAUAUAGAUGCCAAUGGACCCCAUUGUUCUCCGGUCUCGUCGUGUCCUGGAGCACCGUCUUCCUGUACCAUUUGAUCCUGUCCUCCAUUCGGUGAAUGGUUCCCGCAAGAUGAGAGUCGUAAAGGUAAAUUACCUACUGAGCCGUUAAGACCUUCGUCGCGAAGCUGCGUCGCUGAAGAAUAGACCACGUGUAAACGGCGCCUGGAUGCCUUUGAGGGACGUUAAGCUCCAUCCUCACGGGAUCCUCUUAAGUACUUAUCAGUGGUCAAGCCAACCGGCUGGAAUCCAAACCAGGGUCCAUAGAAGAGCACGGCCAUUUUCUAGAAAAUGAACACACGCUCUGGUAUUAUUAGACUAUUAUUUUUAAUGAAUGCUUUUCAUGAAAACUUCCGCAGUGGUGAAAUUGAAGUCGCAUUUAUUAUUGUUAUUCGUUAUGUCGUAGUCCUAUUUUGGAAGCAAGGUGUGAACACGUGGAUUAUGCUGGGAAUAGAGGUGACACGCGAACCCCCCAGGGUUCUGUUUAACACUCGAACAUGCCACUCCACUCCACUCUACUCUACUGUACUCCCUGCUGUAAUGCACUGUGCUGCAUAGAAUUGAGCAGCAAAUGCCAGAGUCCCCUGUAAUGCAGUUGCAUUGUGUGAACUGAUGGAGCUGCCUGGUUCAACUGCAUGUGCCAAUCCAGGAGUGCGAUGCCGACCCGGUGAACGUCCUCGUCGACAGAGCUGUCCAAUGACGCUACGUGCUUGGGAAUUUAAUAGUAUAACAAGCUGAUUGACAACUGUCAUGAUUGACGUACAGAGACCAGUCAAAUUAAAGAUCAAGAUCUCCCGUAUCCGGUUCAUGAGCUGAUAUAAAAGCGACCAAUCACCUGGAUCGAUCUCGUUUGAUGAGAAACGAUUGCGGAUGAGCAUAAAUUAAAGUGUAUCGUAUGAGGAGAGAUGAUGCAUGCCCGAAACGAGUUUCUUCUUUGAUCUCGAGGAUGGAAUAAGAUUUUUCGAUCCCUCUUAACCCGUUUUAAUCCGUUAUUAAGAAGGCAGAUGCGCCGAAGAGAUAACGGAAGAGUAAUCGUUUUGGCAGAAUGCAAGUGCACGGCGCGUAUAAUGUGAGAGAGUCUCACUGCGAACAAAGGAAUCCCAUAGAAUAGCAUACAGUACCGCCGUUACUUUUCUUUGUAUCAAAAGAUCAAAUUUCUCGGCGUUCUGAAAACCACGUCCUGGUGAACCGAUGUAGUUGCGUUAAGUGGCCUGGCCAUUACUGACUUUCUUAAUCGAACGUACCUCCCGUAGGCAGACCGUUAACGUUGUAAUGAAUGCAAUUCACCGUCAGAUUUACCGUGGCGUUCGGAUGGCGUCCAUUACGUGCCAGCUAUAUAACGACUAAAUUAACGACUACGGUUGACAGUCUGACGGGCCGGCUCCGCGAGGUCCGUUAAGUCGGGUUGCCAGCUAAAAUACAAGAGAAGCGUGUCCGGACGACGUGGCAAUAUCACGCGACGCCACACGUUUGCCUUUGUCUAGAUACACACGUGCCCAUGAUAUGUCGUGCGCAUUGAAUUGCUACUUUAGCCAGUAGUCCUACCUAAUAAUUUAGAACGAUCCCAAAGGAAUAAUUUAAUGCUAAAGGGACGAUGAUCCUUUGGAUGUCUUUGCCCUUUAGACAGUUUGAAAGUAGCCUUAUUAUAACUGCAGUAGUAGACGAGAUGCGUACUGGAGUCUGUUUAA